rnacentral:lncRNA from 1 species
CAACUUGAACAUAACAUGUCACUUUGAACAAGGUGACAACCCAACGUGUCUCUUUAAAGGCAGACGAUCCAACUUGAACUUAAUGUGCCACUUAGAGGGAGGUCACAACCAACAUGUCUCUUUGAAGGCGGACGACCCAACUUGAACAGAACAUGUCACUUUGAACGAGGUCACAACCCAAAGUGUCUCUUUAAAGACGGACGAC